CGCCGGCUCCACCCGGGAGCACACGUCCCGCGGGAUGACUGAGCAUCCCCCAGUCAGAGUGGCCCUGCAGCGCGUGGCAGCCACCAUCAGCCAAGGAUGCGGAAGGGAAGCGCGGAAAGCGGAGCGGAGAGGCGGCGGCGCCCGAGGCUGCAGCGACCACCCCCACGCCGCCCGCCCGCGAACUCGCCGCGGGUGCUGGGCCGCGCUGGCCGCGUUUGAAGUCUCCGGCGCCGCUGCUGGUUGGCCGGCUCGGGUCACGUGCACCCAGGCAGGAGUUUCCCCGACAGCUGGAGGCUGCGUGGGAUCCGGCGGCGGCUCCGGAGCUCGGCGGUGCGGCCUUCCCCGCCCCCUCUUCCCUCCUCCCCCGCCCGCUUCCGCCCGGCUUAUUAUCCUCCUUAUUGACAAACAGAGCGGCCGCGGCGGCGACUCUCCGCGUGCAUCUGUAGCCAAGCCAUGGGAGACAAGAAGAGCCCCACCAGGCCGAAGCGGCAGCCGAAGCCGUCCUCGGAUGAGGGUUACUGGGACUGUAGCGUCUGCACCUUCCGGAACAGCGCCGAGGCCUUCAAGUGCAUGAUGUGCGAUGUGCGGAAGGGCACCUCCACCCGAGAUAACGUGAAGAGCCUGGUUACCAUUUGGUGGAACAAUCCUGCUGGCUCAAGCCUCUGCCCAGAAAUUUGAUUCAGUCUCUUUUCUGGACAGUCUGGCACAGGGCAAACAGCAGUGAACCAGAUGAAACAGGAAAAUGUCCCCGUUUAUAAUUAUGGGGGUGAUAGCGAGCUUAUAUUCCUUUCUGGUAGAGGAAGACAGGCAAUAAGCUAAUAAUAUAUAACAUGGUAAGUAGAAACAAGUGCUUUGAAGAAAAGAAAGCAUACAGAGAGAGACAGAGUAAUGGGCAGAGUGGGGAGCAGAGUUGGAGGGGAGAGUGUUAUUUUAUUUCAGGUUAGGAAAGACUUAACUGCCAGCUGGCAUUUGAGCAGAGACCUGGAAGAAGUGAGGGAGUGGAUAGGCAGAGGGGAAUAAUAAGUAGGGGAAAUCCUCAGGCAGGAGUAGAAGGCUAUUGAGGUUGGAUAUUAUGGACUAAAUUGUGUCCCCUCCCCCUAAAUUUAUAUGUUGAAGUCUUAAUCCCCAGUAUGCUAUAUUUGGAGAUAGGGCUUUUAGGAGGUAAAUCAGGUUAAAUGAGUUCAUAAAGAUUGGUGAAAGGUGUGAUAGAAUUAGUGACUUUAUAAGAAGAGGAAAAGGGUGAUCUCUGUCUUUCUCUACUAUGUGAGGAUACAGUGAGAAAGAGGCUCUCUGCGAACCAGAAGGAAAGCACUCACCAGAAGCCAUACCCUGCUGGACCUUGAUUUUGGACUUUGUAGCCUCCAGAACUGUGAGAAAAUAAAUUUCUGUUGUUUAACCCACACAGUCUACAGUAUUUGUUGUGGCACCCCAAGCCAACUGAGACACAGGAAUAGAGGUUUCCGGAGGGGAGAUUAAAGAAGAUGAGGUGGAGGGAGAGACUGAAUCAUGUAGGGUUUCAGACUAGAGCAAGAAUUUUGGAUUUUAUUUUCAAUUGCCAUAUACUCUGGUUGCCAGAGUGUAACAAGGGGGGAAGGGGUUUAGAUGGGGAAGAGGAACCCAAUGAAUGGUUUUAAGCAGAGGAGUGAUAUAAUUUGAGUGAUAUAAUUUGAUUUAUAUCUGGAAUGAUCACCUGGCUGCUUUGUGAGAGAAUAGUCUAUAGCAAAGCAGUUGAAGAAUCAGGGGCAAGUGGCAAUAGGAGGGUGGCAUCAGUGGGGUUGGUGAGAAAUCCAAUUCUCUAUCUAUUUUGAAGGUAGAGUAGAAAGCAUUUGCUGGUAAAUUAGAUGUGAGUGUGAGAGAAAGUGGAGAAUGAAGACUGCUACCAUGUGUUUGGUCUGAGCAACUGGAAAAAUGGAGUUUAUUUACCAAGAUAGGAAGACUGUGAGAGACUGGAAGAGUGGAAGAAGGAACGAAUUAGAAGUAGUUUUGAAUAAGCUAAGUUAUUUUGAGUUGCUACUAGACAUUGAAGUGAAGAUGUUAAAUAGGCAGUUGGUUAUGUAAGUCUAGGGUUUAGGGGAGACAUUGGGGUUGGUGAUACAAAUUUUGGAGUUGUAUAGAUCAGUUCUCAACCUUGGAUGCAUUGAUUUAUCUCAGGAUUGGGGCAUUUUUUAAUUUGAUUACCAGUUAGGUUAAACAUUUUUAAAAACCGCUUUUAUUGAGGUAUAACUGACAUACAGUAUACUGCACACAAUUAAAGUGUACGAUUUGAUAAGUUUU